UAGACGAAAUGCUCGUUUAAAAACUAAGUAGUGCAUACAAAACGAAAUGUGUAAAAAACAGCGCAAAUAACAAUGUGAAGUUUGGUCGCACAGGUGCCCAGUGCGGAUGUUGUCACAGCACGCGACGUGCUAGCUGCUGCCAUUUAACCUUGCUCAGCCUCUGCCUGAUGCAUUGGCUCACAUGGUGUCUAAAAACACAUUUUAUCAACAGGACUCGUAGUGUCGAGCAGCCAAUGAGGAAGGAGGAUUUGGAGGCGGAGGAAGAACCGACAGUGACCACAAGUCGCCAGCAGAGGGCGGCAGGGAGCAGGACGGGGAGUGUGGGUGGCAAAGAAGAAAAACGCCCUUCAGAAUAAUAAGAAUUUCGUUUUAUUUUAAUAAGAAAAAUUGACUGUGAAGCAAAGAAGAAAUUGUGAGAGAAAAAGUCACGGAAAUAACAAAAUUCACAUUGGUGAAACUAAUGUAUGUUUGAGCUAUGUGUUACCUUUGUACAUUAAAACAUGUAUUUUAUUAAA